rnacentral:rRNA from 1 species
GGUUAAGCGACUAAGCGUACACGGUGGAUGCCCUGGCAGUCAGAGGCGAUGAAGGACGUGCUAAUCUGCGAAAAGCGUCGGUAAGGUGAUAUGAACCGUUAUAGCCGGCGAUGUCCGAAUGGGGAAACCCAGUGUGAUUCGUCACACUAUCGUUAACUGAAUACAUAGGUUAACGAGGCGAACCGGGGGAACUGAAACAUCUAAGUACCCCGAGGAAAAGAAAUCAACCGAGAUUCCCCCAGUAGCGGCGAGCGAACGGGGAGCAGCCCAGAGUCUGAAUCAGCUUGUGUGUUAGUGGAACGGUCUGGAAAGUCCGACGGUACAGGGUGAUAGUCCCGUACACCAAAAUGCACAGGCUGUGAACUCGAAGAGUAGGGCGGGACACGUGGUAUCCUGUCUGAAUAUGGGGGGACCAUCCUCCAAGGCUAAAUACUCCUGACUGACCGAUAGUGAACCAGUACCGUGAGGGAAAGGCGAAAAGAACCCCGGCGAGGGGAGUGAAAAAGAACCUGAAACCGUGUACGUACAAGCAGUGGGAGCACCUUCGGGUGUGACUGCGUACCUUUUGUAUAAUGGGUCAGCGACUUAUAUUCUGUAGCAAGGUUAACCGUAUAGGGGAGCCGCAGGGAAACCGAGUCUUAACUGGGCGUUAAGUUGCAGGGUAUAGACCCGAAACCCGGUGAUCUAGCCAUGGGCAGGUUGAAGGUUGGGUAACACUAACUGGAGGACCGAACCGACUAAUGUUGAAAAAUUAGCGGAUGACUUGUGGCUGGGGGUGAAAGGCCAAUCAAACCGGGAGAUAGCUGGUUCUCCCCGAAAGCUAUUUAGGUAGCGCCUCGUGAACUCAUCUUCGGGGGUAGAGCACUGUUUCGGCUAGGGGGUCAUCCCGACUUACCAACCCGAUGCAAACUACGAAUACCGAAGAAUGUUAUCACGGGAGACACACGGCGGGUGCUAACGUCCGUCGUGAAGAGGGAAACAACCCAGACCGCCAGCUAAGGUCCCAAAGUCAUGGUUAAGUGGGAAACGAUGUGGGAAGGCACAGACAGCCAGGAUGUUGGCUUAGAAGCAGCCAUCAUUUAAAGAAAGCGUAAUAGCUCACUGGUCGAGUCGGCCUGCGCGGAAGAUGUAACGGGGCUAAACCAUGCACCGAAGCUGCGGCAGCGACACUAUGUGUUGUUGGGUAGGGGAGCGUUCUGUAAGCCUGCGAAGGUGACCUGUGAGGGUUGCUGGAGGUAUCAGAAGUGCGAAUGCUGACAUAAGUAACGAUAAAGCGGGUGAAAAGCCCGCUCGCCGGAAGACCAAGGGUUCCUGUCCAACGUUAAUCGGGGCAGGGUGAGUCGACCCCUAAGGCGAGGCCGAAAGGCGUAGUCGAUGGGAAACAGGUUAAUAUUCCUGUACUUGGUGUUACUGCGAAGGGGGGACGGAGAAGGCUAUGUUAGCCGGGCGACGGUUGUCCCGGUUUAAGCAUGUAGGCUGAUUAUCCAGGCAAAUCCGGAUAAUCAAGGCUGAGGUGUGAUGACGAGGCACUACGGUGCUGAAGUAACAAAUGCCCUGCUUCCAGGAAAAGCCUCUAAGCAUCAGGUAACAUCAAAUCGUACCCCAAACCGACACAGGUGGUCAGGUAGAGAAUACCAAGGCGCUUGAGAGAACUCGGGUGAAGGAACUAGGCAAAAUGGUGCCGUAACUUCGGGAGAAGGCACGCUGGUGUGUAGGUGAAGUCCCUGCGGAUGGAGCUGAGACCAGUCGAAGAUACCAGCUGGCUGCAACUGUUUAUUAAAAACACAGCACUGUGCAAACACGAAAGUGGACGUAUACGGUGUGACGCCUGCCCGGUGCCGGAAGGUUAAUUGAUGGGGUUAUCCGUAAGGAGAAGCUCUUGAUCGAAGCCCCGGUAAACGGCGGCCGUAACUAUAACGGUCCUAAGGUAGCGAAAUUCCUUGUCGGGUAAGUUCCGACCUGCACGAAUGGCGUAAUGAUGGCCAGGCUGUCUCCACCCGAGACUCAGUGAAAUUGAACUCGCUGUGAAGAUGCAGUGUACCCGCGGCAAGACGGAAAGACCCCGUGAACCUUUACUAUAGCUUGACACUGAACAUUGAGCCUUGAUGUGUAGGAUAGGUGGGAGGCUUUGAAGCGUGGACGCCAGUCUGCGUGGAGCCAACCUUGAAAUACCACCCUUUAAUGUUUGAUGUUCUAACGUUGGCCCCUGACCGGGGUUGCGGACAGUGUCUGGUGGGUAGUUUGACUGGGGCGGUCUCCUCCCAAAGCGUAACGGAGGAGCACGAAGGUUAGCUAAUCCUGGUCGGACAUCAGGAGGUUAGUGCAAUGGCAUAAGCUAGCUUGACUGCGAGCGUGACGGCGCGAGCAGGUGCGAAAGCAGGUCAUAGUGAUCCGGUGGUUCUGAAUGGAAGGGCCAUCGCUCAACGGAUAAAAGGUACUCCGGGGAUAACAGGCUGAUACCGCCCAAGAGUUCAUAUCGACGGCGGUGUUUGGCACCUCGAUGUCGGCUCAUCACAUCCUGGGGCUGAAGUAGGUCCCAAGGGUAUGGCUGUUCGCCAUUUAAAGUGGUACGCGAGCUGGGUUUAGAACGUCGUGAGACAGUUCGGUCCCUAUCUGCCGUGGGCGCUGGAGAAUUGAGGGGGGCUGCUCCUAGUACGAGAGGACCGGAGUGGACGCAUCACUGGUGUUCGGGUUGUCAUGCCAAUGGCACUGCCCGGUAGCUAAAUGCGGAAGAGAUAAGUGCUGAAAGCAUCUAAGCACGAAACUUGCCCCGAGAUGAGUUCUCCCUGAGACUUUAAGUCUCCUGAAGGAACGUUGAAGACGACGACGUUGAUAGGCCGGGUGUGUAAGCGCAGCGAUGCGUUGAGCUAACCGGUACUAAUGAACCGUGAGGCUUAACCUU